ensembl:snRNA U6 U6 spliceosomal RNA
GUGCUCUCUUCGGCAGCACGUAUACUGAACUUGAACAUAUACAGAGAUUAGCAUGGCCCUUACCCAAGCAUGACAUGCAAAUUCUCAAAGCAUUUCAUAUUUUA